rnacentral:rRNA from 1 species
AGCGAACGCUGGCGGCAGGCCUAAUACAUGCAAGUCGAGCGGGUCCUUCGGGAUUAGCGGCGGACGGGUGAGUAACGCGUGGGAACGUGCCCUUUGGUACGGAACAACUGAGGGAAACUUCAGCUAAUACCGUAUGUGCCCUUCGGGGAAAGAUUUAUCGCCAUUGGAGCGGCCCGCGUUGGAUUAGGUAGUUGGUGAGGUAAAGGCUCACCAAGCCUACGAUCCAUAGCUGGUCUGAGAGGAUGACCAGCCACACUGGGACUGAGACACGGCCCAGACUCCUACGGGAGGCAGCAGUAGGGAAUCUUGCGCAAUGGGCGAAAGCCUGACGCAGCCAUGCCGCGUGAAUGAUGAAGGUCUUAGGAUUGUAAAAUCCUUUCACCGGGGACGACAAUGACGGUACCCGGAGAAGAAGCCCCGGCUAACUUCGUGCCAGCAGCCGCGGUAAU